ensembl:snoRNA Gm25113 small nucleolar RNA SNORA48
AACCCCUGGCACUGAGCCAAGACACACCUUGUUGUUGGUAUUGUUCUCAUAUCAGUCAGGGGUAGAGCAGAUGGCAAUCUUUGUUCCUCAUAGCUUGGGGUGUAGCAUGAAUGCCAACGCUGUCUUAUGCCUAGGACAUCCAA